UGCGAUCAUACCAGCACUAAUGCACCGGAUCCCAUCAGAACUCCGCAGUUAAUCGUGCUUGGGCGAGAGUAGUACUAGGAUGGGUGACCCCCUGGGAAGUCCUCGUGUUGCA
rnacentral:rRNA from 1 species